rnacentral:rRNA from 1 species
UACGGAGGGGGCUAGCGUUGUUCGGAAUUACUGGGCGUAAAGCGCGCGUAGGCGGCCCUUCAAGUCGGGGGUGAAAGCCCGAGGCUCAACCUCGGAACUGCCUUCGAUACUGCGGGUCUCGAGUCCGGGAGAGGUGAGUGGAAUUCCUAGUGUAGAGGUGAAAUUCGUAGAUAUUAGGAAGAACACCAGUGGCGAAGGCGACUCACUGGCCCGGUACUGACGCUGAGGCGCGAAAGCGUGGGGAGCAAACAGG